rnacentral:rRNA from 1 species
ACCAAAAAGCCAGCCCAAACAACACACAUUCUUUCCCCCCCCCCCACUAAAACAUUCAGUCUUCUAGUAUAGGCGAUAGAACAAAACUUUUGGCGCAAUAGAUAAAUGUACCGCAAGGGAAAGCUGAAAAAGAAAUGAAACAAAACAUCCAAGUAAUAAAAAGCAAAGAUUAAUACUUUUACCUUUAGCAUCAUGGCCUAGCAAGAAUAUCCAGAGCAAAACGACUUUUAGUUCUAUCCCCCGAAACUAGACGAGCUAUUCAAAAACAGCCUUCCAGGGCAAACUCGUCUCUGUGGCAAAAGAGUGAGAAGAUUUUUAAAUAGCGGUGACAAGCCUAACGAGCCUAGUGAUAGCUGGUUGCCCAACCAAACGAGUAUCAGCUCUACCUCAAACCCCUUUAUUAUACACACAAAUCACUAACUAAACUUUAUGAGUUAUUCAUAAGGGGUACAGCCCUUAUGAAAAAGGAUACAACCUACAGCACCGGGUAAUGAUUACAUUCCACCAAGAAAUGUUAUUCUAGUUGGCCCAAAAGCAGCCACCUCCCAAUAAUGAAAGCGUCACAGCUCGAAUAAAACCCCCACCAACAAUUAGUAUAAUACAUCAAAACCCACCAUGCCUAAUGGGCCCAUUCAUAACAAUAUGAUUAAGUUAAUGCUAGAAUUAGUAACAAGAAAACAAGAUUUUCUCAAUGCGCAAGUACAAGCCAAGCCGAACACACCAUUGGCACCUACCAACCCACAAUCCAACGGCAAAACACCCACUAACCCAAGAAAAAUAUAAACAAAAACACCGUUAACCCUACACAGGAGCGCAUGCACGAAAGAUUAAAAGAUAAAGAAGGAACUCGGCAAACCCACUUUUAAGCCCCGCCUGUUUACCAAAAACAUCGCCUCUAGCUAAUCACCCCACAUGUAUUAGAGGUACUGCCUGCCCAGUGAUAACUAUAUUCAACGGCCGCGGUAUUCUGACCGUGCAAAGGUAGCAUAAUCACUUGUCUUUUAAAUAAAGACUAGUAUGAACGGCAAAACGAGGACUUAACUGUCUCCUUUAUCCUAUCAGUGAAAUUGAUCCCCCCGUACAAAAGCGGGGAUACACCCACAAGACGAGAAGACCCUAUGGAGCUUCAAAUGCACAUGCACCUGUCCUUUAAACCAGAUAGACUCUGACAUGUAAUUUUCGGUUGGGGCGACCACGGAGAACAACACAUCCUCCAAGACAUUGCUAGCAACACUAGCCACCCAGAGAAACACCCCCAAGCACCAAAAACUUUGAUACAUUGACCCAAAUUUUUGAUCAACGAACCAAGUUACCCUAGGGAUAACAGCGCAAUCCUUUCAAAGAGUCCCUAUCGCCGAAAGGGUUUACGACCUCGAUGUUGGAUCAGGAUACCCCAACAGUGCAGCAGCCGUUAAAGGUUCGUUUGUUCAACGAUUAAAAUCCUACGUGAUCUGAGUUCAGACCGGAGCAAUCCAGGUCAGUUUCUAUCUGUGUAUAAUAUUUUCCAGUACGAAAGGACCGAAAAAAUAAGGCCAAUAACAAACUUACGCCUUCCCUUACAAAUAUGAAAUCAACUAAAAAUAUUCAGGGACCAAUACAGAUGCCCUAUAAAAGGGCUUUA